rnacentral:rRNA from 1 species
UACGUAGGUGACCAGCGUUGUCCGGAUUUACUGGGCGUAAAGAGCGCGCAGGCGGUCGUUCAAGUCGAGUGUGAAAGCCCCCGGCUCAACUGGGGAGGGUCACUCGAUACUGAUCGACUUGAAGGCAGGAGAGAGAAGCGGAAUUCCCGGUGUAGUGGUGAAAUGCGUAGAUAUCGGGAGGAACACCGGUGGCGAAGGCGGCGACCUGGGUAGAUACUGACGCUGAGGUGCGAAAGCGUGGGGAGCAAACAGG